AUGCAUGCAUGCAUACGUCACUCUGGGGUUGAGAGUUCUGACACCAUUGACAAUGUCAAGGCCAAGAUCAAGGACAAGGAGGGCAUCCCCCCUGACCAGCAGCGCCCGAUCUUUGCCGGCAAGCAGCUGGACGAUGGCCGCAGCCUCACCGACUACAACAUCCAGAAGGAGUCCACCCUUCACCUGGUGUCACCUCCGUGGUGGCCAUCCAUCCAUCAGUCUCACGAGCUGCUCAUACCUGGCCUCGACCGACCAAAGCUCCCCGCUCGAAGGACACCUCUCAGACAAGCUGUACGGUUCCCAGCCCACGCCACAACCGGAUCCAAGGCAAUGGAAUGUCGGUGGCUGGCGGCACCAUAG
rnacentral:rRNA from 1 species